AGCGAACGCUGGCGGCAGGCUUAACACAUGCAAGUCGAGCGGGCGUAGCAAUACGUCAGCGGCAGACGGGUGAGUAACGCGUGGGAACAUACCUUUUGGUUCGGAACAACACAGGGAAACUUGUGCUAAUACCGGAUAAGCCCUUACGGGGAAAGAUUUAUCGCCGAAAGAUUGGCCCGCGUCUGAUUAGCUUGUUGGUGAGGUAACGGCUCACCAAGGCGACGAUCAGUAGCUGGCUGAGAGGAUGAUCAGCCACAUUGGGACUGAGACACGGCCCAAACUCCUACGGGAGGCAGCAGUGGGGAAUAUUGGACAAUGGGCGCAAGCCUGAUCCAGCCAUGCCGCGUGAGUGAUGAAGGCCCUAGGGUU
rnacentral:rRNA from 1 species